UGUGUGUGUGUGUGUGUGUGUAUGUGUAUGUGUGUAUAUAUAUAUACACACACACGUGUAUAUAUAUAUAUAUAUAUAUACACACACACACACACACACACACACACG
rnacentral:miRNA from 1 species